rnacentral:rRNA from 1 species
GUGGGGAAUAUUGGACAAUGGGCGAAAGCCUGAUCCAGCAAUGCCGCGUGAGUGAUGAAGGCCUUAGGGUUGUAAAGCUCUUUUACCCGGGAUGAUAAUGACAGUACCGGGAGAAUAAGCUCCGGCUAACUCCGUGCCAGCAGCCGCGGUAAUACGGAGGGAGCUAGCGUUGUUCGGAAUUACUGGGCGUAAAGCGCACGUAGGCGGCUUUGUAAGUUAGAUGUGAAAGCCUGGAGCUUAACUCCAGAACUGCCUUUAAGACUGCAUCGCUUGAAUCCAGGAGAGGUGAGUGGAAUUCCGAGUGUAGAGGUGAAAUUCGUAGAUAUUCGGAAGAACACCAGUGGCGAAGGCGGCUCACUGGACUGGUAUUGACGCUGAGGUGCGAAAGCGUGGGGAGCAAACAGGAUUAGAAACCCGAGUAGUCC